rnacentral:tRNA from 1 species
GCCCUGCUGGCUCAGAUGGUAAAGAACCUGCCUGCAGUGCAGGAGACCCAGGUUCAAUCCCUGGGUCGGGAA